UGUCUUAACACAUGCAAGUCGAACGCGAACGAUUUUCUUCGGAGAAUCUAGUAGAGUGGCGCACGGGUGAGUAACGCGUAAAUAAUCUACCCCUGCAUUCGGGAUAACCCACCGAAAGGUGUGCUAAUACCGGAUACGUUCUUUUUAUCGCGAGAUAUUAAGAAGAAAGGUGGCCUCUGAUAUAAGCUACUGUGCAGGGAGGAGUUUGCGUACCAUUAGCUUGUUGGUAGGGUAAUGGCCUACCAAGGCAACGAUGGUUAGCGGGUCUGAGAGGAUGAUCCGCCACACUGGAACUGGAACACGGACCAGACUCCUACGGGAGGCAGCAGUGAGGAAUAUUGCGCAAUGGGGGCAACCCUGACGCAGCGACGCCGCGUGGAUGAUGAAGGCCUUCGGGUCGUAAAAUCCUGUCAGAUGGAAAGAAAUGUAUAUGUAUUAAUAGUAUGUAUGCUUGACGGUACCAUCAAAGGAAGCACCGGCUAACUCCGUGCCAGCAGCCGCGGUAAUACGGAGGGUGCAAGCGUUGUUCGGAAUUACUGGGCGUAAAGCGCGCGUAGGUGGUCUGUUAUGUCAGAUGUGAAAGUCCACGGCUCAACCGUGGAAGUGCAUUUGAAACUGGCAGACUUGAGUACUGGAGGGGGUAGUGGAAUUCCCGGUGUAGAGGUGAAAUUCGUAGAUAUCGGGAGGAAUACCGGUGGCGGAGGCGACUACCUGGCCAGAUACUGACACUGAGGUGCGAAAGCGUGGGGAGCGAACAGGAUUAGAUACCCUGGUAGUCCACGCCGUAAACGAUGUCAACUAGGUGCUGGGAUGGUUAAUCGUCUCAUUGCCGGAGCUAACGCAUUAAGUUGACCGCCUGGGGAG
rnacentral:rRNA from 1 species